rnacentral:rRNA from 1 species
GACGAACGCUGUCGGCGUGCCUAAUACAUGCAAGUAGAACGCAGUUGCGAACGGGUGAGUAACGCGUAGGUAACUGCCUCAUAGCGGGGGAUAACUAUUGGAAACGAUAGCUAAUACCGCAUACUGUGAGAUGGACCUGCGUUGUAUUAGGUAGUUGGUGGGGUAAAGGCUCACCAAGGCGACGAUACAUACCCGACCUGUGAGGGUGAGCGGCAAAAAAGGGACUGGGACAAGGCACAGAAUGCUAAGGGAGGCAGCAGAAGGGAAAGUUAGGCAAUGGAAGGAAGUCUGAAGGAGGAACGCCGCGUGAGAGAAGAAGGGGUGAGGAACGAAAAGCUCUGUUGUUAGAGAAGCGGUAACUAACCAGAAAGGGACGGCUAACUACGUGCCAGCAGCCGCGGUAAUAC